rnacentral:tRNA from 1 species
GUUUAAGUAGCUUAAUACUAAAGCAUCAGUCUUGUAAACUGAAGAAUAGAGGCUAACCACCUCUCUCAAACU